AAAAUAAAAAAUAAAAAAUAAAAGGAAAGAAACAAACAGAGAAAAAGUUUAGAAAACUAUCAAUUAACUGUAAAAAACAUAUUAAACCAAUCAAAUGAAAACAGCAUCCACAAAUUCUAAAAAGAAACAAUAGAUACAACAACAGAUUGUCGCUCAUAGAAGGAAUCGCGGAUUAGUUGAAAGAAGUCUAAACUGGCCAGCUUUUUUGGACUAAUCCAAAAUACCCCUCAUCUUUUAUCCUCUUCUGGUCUAGAUCUUUUUUCUUUCUUCUUCUUAUUGCAUAAUAGAACAAUAUACGCAUAUGAAGCUUAGGUUCCACUUCCCUGAAUGGAAAUCUUUGAAACGCGCACACGAACGCCCCA
rnacentral:misc_RNA from 1 species